GGAACUGUAGGUGUAGCGGUGAAAUGCGUAGAUAUCUACAGGAACACCAAAGACGAAGGUAGGCAACUGGGCCCGGUUCUGACGCUCAGGCACGAAAGCGUGGGGAGCAAACAGGAUUAGAUACCCUGGUAGUCCACGCCGUAAACGAUGUGCACUAGAUUCGAGAGGCUCUGACGCCAUUCGGGUCGAAGCAAAAGUGUUAAGUGCACCGCCUGGGGAGUACGGUCGCAAGGCUAAAACUCAAAGGAAUUGACGGGGGCUCACACAAGCGGUGGAGCAUGUGGCUUAAUUCGAAGCAACGCGAAGAACCUUAUCCUGGGUUUGACAUGCACGGAUACCCUCGCCGAAAGGCGAGUAAGUUGCCCAUUCGGGUGAAACGUGCACAGGUGCUGCAUGGCUGUCGUCAGCUCGUGCUGUGAAGUGUUGGGUUAAGUCCCUUAACGAGCGAAACCCCUGUCGCUAGUUGCUAACAGGUCUCCGGACGCUGAGGACUCUAGCGAGACUGCCGGUGUCAAACCGGAGGAAGGCGGGGAUGACGUCAAGUCCUCAUGGCCUUUAUGCCCAGGGCUGCACACGUGCUACAAUGGCGUGAACAGAGCGACGCAAUACCGUAAGGUGGAGCAAAUCGCAAAAAUCACGCCCCAGUUCGGAUCGAGGUCUGCAACUCGACCUCGUGAAGGUGGAAUCGCUAGUAAUCGCGCAUCAGCAAUGGCGCGGUGAAUACGUUCCUGAGCCUUGUACACACCGCCCGUCAAGUCAUGGAAGCCGGGAGUGCCCGAAGUCGCACCGUUUCAGGUGUGCCUACGGCAAGCUCGGUG
rnacentral:rRNA from 1 species